rnacentral:rRNA from 1 species
GAUGAACGCUAGCGGCAGGCCUAACACAUGCAAGUCGAGGGAGGAGCUUUCGGGCUUCGACCGGCGUACGGGUGCGUAAAGCGUAUACAAUCUGCCUUUCACAUAGGGCUAGCCCGAAGAAAUUUGGAUUAAUACCUAAUGGUAUAUCGCGGUGGCAUCACCUUUAUAUUAAAGCUGAGGCGGUGAAAGAUGAGUAUGCGUUCUAUUAGCUAGUUGGAGAGGUAACGGCUCCCCAAGGCGACGAUAGAUAGGGGUUCUGGGAGGGAUAUCCCCCACACUGGUACUGCGAUACGGACCAGACUCCUACGCGAGGCAGCGGUGUGGAAUAUUGGGCACGGGACUGUAGCCGGACCCAGCCAUGCCGGGUGCAGGAAGUCGGCCUUCGGGGUUGUAAGCUGCUUUUGCAGGGGAAGAAUAAGGGCUACGCUUAGUUUGAUGACGGUACUCUGCGAAUAAGCAUCGGCUAACUCCGUG